GUGUCGUUUGAAAGGAGAGCUGGUUAGCACUCCCCUUGACAAGGACGGAACAUAAUUAAUGGUCGAAAAGGCACAGACAAUUUCGGCCGAAAUUUUUUUUUCAGCUAAUUUUUUUG